UUUGAGCCAACUGCUUUUGAUCUGGGAGCUUACAGAAUGGGAGUAGGCUGAAUCAAGCCUCUGUCAAGAGCCACUGCUGAAAUACUGAAUUAAAAUAUCCAAGACCAGCACAUCAGGAGGAUAGCCUUCUGCCAAGAAUGGUGUGGAGUUGAAUGAAAAGUGUGUGCCUUUUGAAGAACAGCAACUGAAAGAAAUAUUGAUGACUGCCAGGGCAUCUACAGAAAAAGAUAAGAAAAUUACUCUAGUACAACAGUGAAAACAAAGGGGCUUUGUUAACACUUUCUUGUAGGUUGUAUAUAUUAAUAGUAACAAGUAAAGUUUUGUAUUUUUUCAGAGAAACACACAAGGCCUUGAAUUGUAUUGUUUUAAUUGCAACUAACUGAAUGAAUUAAGUGGAAAAUCGCACACAGUACUUUGAUUGUCUAAUUCUCUGUAUGUGAGGCUUUGGGAACAGUUUGUUAUUCUAAAAGAACAGCACUAACCAGAAAUCAGCCAACAUGUAAUUGCUAGGCUGAGGGGCAGUUUGGGGAAAGCUGAUACUUAUUUAUACAUUAUUAAAUAAAAUCACAUAAUAUGAGGAUCAUCUCUCACUGCCUCCACACUUCAUACAUUACUCAUCUUCCUAAAUUUCAUGGUUUUGUACUCCCUUAGUACAUUGCUGCUUAUAACCAGUGCAGGCAUCAAAACCACCCACAUCCAGGAAAGGAGAUGCCUGUGCAUUUGUUAUGAUGGCAGAUUUGGUUAUCGGACUCAUCAAAGAUUACAAACCUUCAGUUCAAGGAAAGGGAUCUUGACUCAAGUUUUAAAGGUUGUUUUCAGUACCUAAAAUACACCCGGGCACCUGGGACUGUUCAGGUGGCUGAAACUCUGGCUGGUGUUUCCACUUGACUAUGUACAUUUAGAGAUUCACAGUCAGCCAGUAACCUAAAUAGAAGGCUUAAGAGCAAUUUUGGCAUUCAAUUUGACAGAGUUCCCAAAAAACAAAUUGUUUAUGUAAUUCCCAUCAGUUUUGGUAAGAAUCAGGUAACUUCUGGUUACCUCCAGGGAUCCUCACUGCUCACUUGUACCUUACUCCCAUAGGAAACAGCCACUUGCAAGACACAGAGAGGAGAUAGAUGGUGAUGGGACUCAUGGAGAAGAAAGAAGAGACCAACACUCCUACCUGUUACUUCUGUGAUGAAAAUGGCAAGACAGCUAUGGAUCUGCAGUAAACUCCAAGCUAUGUGGUAGCUACAGGCAGAUGCACAGGAGGAGGGGGUGAUGGCUGUCCAAGGGCCCUGUGACACUUGGGGACAAGGAAGUAAAAUCAAGACAUUUGUGAUGUAAAAGUCUGCUCUCCCAGUCCUCUCAUCUUGUAUAAAGACAAAUGGAUCACAGAAUCUGGAUGAGAGGAAU